rnacentral:rRNA from 1 species
UCUAAUUGAGUGGCAGCAGUCGUGGUUAUAUGUAGGGUGGUGGCGUUAAUGUGAAUUACUGUGCGUAAAGCGUGCUCAGGCGGUUUGGUAAGACAGGCGUGAAAUCCCCGUGCUUAACCUGGGAACUGCGCUUGUGACUGCCAGGCUAGAGUACGGCAGAGGGGGGUGGAAUUCCACGUGUAACAGUGAAAUGCGUAGAGAUGUGGAGGAACACCAAUGGCGAAGGCAGCCCCCUGGGUCGAUACUGACGCUCAUGCACGAAAGCGUGGGUAGCAAACAGGAUUAGAUACCCCAGUAGUC